UACGAAGGGAGCUAGCGUUGUUCGGAAUCACUGGGCGUAAAGCGCACGUAGGCGGAUGUGUCAGUCAGGGGUGAAAUCCCGGAGCUCAACUUCGGAACUGCCUUUGAUACAGCACGUCUUGAGUCCGAUAGAGGUGGGUGGAAUUCCUAGUGUAGAGGUGAAAUUCGUAGAUAUUAGGAAGAACACCGGUGGCGAAGGCGGCCCACUGGAUCGGUACUGACGCUGAGGUGCGAAAGCGUGGGAGCAACAGG
rnacentral:rRNA from 1 species